UACGGAGGGUGCGAGCGUUGUCCGGAAUCACUGGGCGUAAAGGGCGCGUAGGCGGCUUGCGAAGUCUGUGGUGAAAGCUCGUGGCUCAACUGCGAGUCGGCCAUAGAUACUCCUAAGCUCGAGUCGACUAGAGGCAGAUGGAAUUCCGGGUGUAGCGGUGGAAUGCGUAGAGAUCCGGAAGAACACCGGUGGCGAAGGCGGUCUGCUGGGGUCGAACUGACGCUGAGGCGCGACAGCGUGGGGAGCAAACAGG
rnacentral:rRNA from 1 species